CCCACCCGCCCUGGGAGGGAGCGGGCACUCGGCGGCGCUGCGCGGACUCGCGCUCGCCUCCCACACCCCCGCACACAAAGACGCCGCUCGGCGGAGGGAGCAGGCGCCCGCAGCGGGCGCGGGGGCGCACGGGACGCGGGCCCCGGGGACGCCGCCGCAGGGACGCGCGCCCGCAGCCCCCGGGUCCCCACAGCUGCAUAGCCCGGCCCUCAGCCCGAGCGGCCGGCGCGGGAUACGGGGAUGUGGGGAUGAUGGGGAGAGAGGAAGGGGACCAGGCGCCCCGGGUAGAGCUUGUCAGCUCAGCCCCGCGGCAUCAUGGGGUUUGUAGUCCGCCUCGUGAAACUGGGGGUGGCAGGUGGCCGAAGAGGGUCUGCACUGUCCCCGGAUCUCGUGGGAGAGUGGGCGGGGAGUCAGGCCUGGCCCAGACGCGGGCGGGGCCCUGACGCCAGGUGGGCUGGGACGCACCUCCCCCGCUGGCAUUUUGCCUUUUGCUGGGGAAGUGGGGGGGCACGGGCCUAGGUCGAGCGUUUGGGAGACGGGGUGGAGGUGUGGUCUUCAGAAUUGAGCUUGGGUCCCAGGGGCCAUGAAGAAGGAUCCGGAUUCCCAGAAGAGAGCGUCUGAUUGGGAACUCCUGAGAAAGGUGUGGGGCAUCAGUACCAAGGGUCAUUGGAGCAGCCAGGGGUCUGGCCCCUGGAACAUUUCUGAGGAGUCUUCCCUGCCCUGUUAGAAAAUUAAACUCCAUCUUCCACACAUGUCAUUGGAAACAGAAUGUCCAGUAACGCGGGAAAGAUGGUCCCUUUCCCCCCGCACACUGUCCCCAGCAAGAACCAGAGUGAGGUUGGACAGAAAAAGCAGCAGGUGGCAGCUCCGUUCCUCCACCCAGCUGGCCCUUCAGGAAGGGAAGUGACUGAUUCCAGAGACUGUCUCCUUCCUGAAUGACCCCAGGGUGAAGAGGUACUUCCAGAAUGGUCCCUGCAGAGGGUGUGGUAAAAGUUGAAUUGGCCUCUCAAGCGCCAAUUGCAAGGCCUGGAAGGACCAAGAGGCUUGGACCAGUCCCUGGAGGGAGGGGACUGUGAUGUCAGAGAGACCAGAGUUCGAAUAGCUCCAACUGCCUGACCUUAAAAGAGCAAACUGCUUAAUUUUUCCGACUUUCUCGGUCCACUCCCCUUCAAAAUGAGAAUCUAGAUACUACCUCCUGGGGUGAGCUAAGGAUAAUGACUGCCCUGGAAACAGCGCCUCCCUCCCCCAACCAGGCGGGCCGAGACAGGUGGCGGGACCAGGCACGGUGCCUUCUUGAGCCCACCUCAGAACAAGGCAGGAAUAAGGGAUUCCACACCGGCCCUACUUAAAACAACAAUCCAAGAAGUGUUUGUGUGGGAGGUGCCAGCAAAAGCUUGCAAACUCUCUCAGGUUUCUUUGUGUGGUCUUCCCUCCUUCCUCCUCCACACCCUGUGGUGCCAGGCCCCAGCGGGAAGAGAUGAGGGAGGAGCGGGCUGCCUCGCCCCUUUCUCCCGCCUGGGAGGAGCCAGCUGGCGUCUCCGGGGGCCCGGGACCGCUGCCCGCCUGCACCACCAGGGGUCAGCAGAGUGUCGUGGCUGCAGCCAGUGCAGGGGAGGGGGCUGGCGCGGUUGAGGGGCAUCUAGGAGUGGCCGGGAGCAUGCCUGUGCAUUUCCUUAUUAAAUUGUUUUUCGAACCUUGUGUGUGAUUCCACUGUAGCAGUCCUGCUUCCUGGGGUGGUGACAUCUCCACGGGGGAAUCCAGAAACCCUUUUAUCUCCAGUCCCAGGCCCAGAAGUUUGGCUGUGACGGGGCUGGGGGAAACAAAGUUUGGACGAUGUGUCCGCGCCAGGGCCACUCCCAGGCGGCGGUAGACACUGAACCCAGGUCGCUUGCGCUUCGGCCCGCGCUCUCAGCUGCCACGUGCUCGAGACGCGCCCACACAGCGGAGAAACAAAGACAGCCAAGCGGCAGGGCUGCCAGCAGCCUCCUCGACAUUUAAUAAAUGAAAUUCCAUAGCUGGGGGUCGAUCGGGGGUGAACGGGCGGCCACCGCUCGUGGACUGAGCGCCUGGCACGGGCUGCCUGGCCACUCCUCCCGUCUCACUCCCCCCGCCCCUUACCCCCUUCCCGCUGAGGCCACCAAGCCCAUGGACUCUGGUGAGAGAGCAGCUCGGGGCGGCAGGUGGUGCUCCCCCCUACACACCAGCUAGGUAUCGUUGCUUGCAAAAGCCCCACCAGCUGAGCGGCUGGCUGUCGAGGGAGGGGAGGCCUGCAAGAUUUUUUUAAGGUGCAAUUAUAAAUAAAGCCCAUGGAUCGCGAUUUCAAACAAACUUGUCAAUCUGGGCCGCAGCAAAAGGCGAUGGAGGCAGCUUUGCAUGUAUUUCGGGUGGUGUGACUCAUGAGCAUUACUUGUCUCCCCUAGGGAAGGAGCCUGCCCACCCACAAAUCACUGCCGCUCUGGCACCGUUGGGAUAAUCGACCAACUUGAGCACCCCUGCCAAAGGACUGCCCCCAUCUUAACAAGCAGGAGUCUCUGACUCUUGGAGAACCCCUCCUCAAUUGUCACCACUGACCUGGCCCCCAGGUCUGGCCCUGGGGACCUCUACCCUCUCCCCACAAGCAGAGUGCCCGGGCCUUUUGCUGCUGCAGGGAUUGGGGGUUGGGUACACGCGCGGCACACGCGUAUGGGGGCGCAUGCUCAGUGCGGGGGCUGCGCUCAUGUGCGGCCUCUACCUAGGCUCCCUGCCCCCCAGCCCACCCACGUCCCUCACCUGCCUUGCCUUUGCCUGCCUCGUCGUGUGAAGUCCAGGAAGAAAGGCCGUCACCUGAAACGGCCCCUCUAUGUUAUAUGCACCCUUUCUGGACACACACACCUCUGGUGGCCCAGAAACACCGUGGGUGUGUGUAAGGCGGAUGACAAGUGGAUGUGAGUGCACACAGGCACAGUGGUCACUCCUCGGGAGGUCUUUAAAAACCGCCCAGAUUCUCUCCUCUCUGGAUGGAAGGAUGCAUGGAGAGAUAGAUAUAUUUUUAGUCCGGAGGCAGGGGAAUACACUGCCUGACCUUUCUGGCACCUGGGCGUCCAUAUUGUUAGCAGUGGGCGUAUUCAGCAAGAGUGUGACACAUACACACACACCCCUGGACACACAGAUGUGGACACCUACGGGACAGGGACGCACACCUCACCCCAACCAGAGAUAGACGGGUACCCCAAGGCACAG
rnacentral:lncRNA from 1 species